rnacentral:lncRNA from 1 species
AAAUAAAUUAUUAAAUUUAUGUUACAAUUUGAUUGCAUUUAUAUUUAAUAAAUCUGAUUAUCGUUAAUGUCGAUUGUUGUAACAUUUUAAGAGAAGAAAAAAUGUCAAAGAUUUUUUAGAAUCAUCUUUUCGAUCUUCAAUAAAAUGAUUAUGAGAAACGGAUCGAAUAAAUAUGAUCGAUGCAAAUUGCAAAGGAGAGCGAGAGUAAGUUAAUCAGUAAUCAGGUAUCGAGUUAAUGAGUUCAGAUAACUGCCUUAUAUCGAUUUUCAAAUUUUAGUUCGACAAAGAGUAAACUUAGAAUUGAUGUCUAUGUCAAGUAAGGUGAAAUGUUUUAAAAUUCUUAACAAGAAAUUCUACUUUAGAUCGAUUAAAACGAUAACAAUGAAAGUAAGAUUUCGAGACGGUUCAUGCGUGAACAUCAAAUAUCAAUCAAUAUUUGCUCUGCACUCUCAAAAUGUUAUUCGUUUUUUUUAGAUUAUGUUUUACGCUUUCAGAAGAAAAGCUUUUUAAGAAAAGACAACUUCCGAAGAUGAGAUUGUUGCGAACGAGCCGCUGAAUUUGUAUCAAAUAAAAAACUCGGAUGGCUAGAAAAAGUGACUACUUCAAAGAAGGCCGCUGUAAUGAAUAAAAAAAGAUUUGCAUGUGCGUGGAAUAUCGGCUGGUUCGAUAUAAUUGAGAUAGCCAGGUCGCAGACUGUCAAGGUUACAGGAGCCGAGGCUUCUGACGGCAUAGGAGCAGCACGUUAUCGAUUUAACUUGUUGCAUACGUAAACAAAGCUUUCUUCAUCAAUGCGUCGCAUGACCACGUAUCUAUGGCAUAAAUACACCAAGAAAGAGAGAGAGAGAGAGAGAGAGAGAGAGAGAGAAGGAAUGAGGACGAGACAGAAGACUGACAGGUGGUGGAUGUUAUUAUCAUAAUUAAAAUCUCACGUAGGAUCGAUUACCCUCGAGAUUCGAAGUGACGUGUACACAUCAUGCUCAAAUGAACGAUUAUUUGUGAAAACAAUUUUCCUAAUUACGAUAGCUAGCUCGAUCUAUUGAUCGAUCUUUAAUGAUCGUUAAACGAUUAUCGAUAGUUCUCUUUAAAAGAACUUCUUUAUAAUCUUUGACCUAUUUAAUUUAAUCAUUUAAACUACAAAGAAACAAGAAUACUUUCGUUAUAGUUCUACUCGAGCGAAGACAGUAUUAAAGGCGGUGAGGCGUGAAAAUUUUGUUCCGAAUGAUCGAGAUAAGCAAUGGAACGCAGACAUUUUUUUCCAAUGGGAGCAUGAGAAAGAAAUUUUGUGAUUGAAUAAAGGUUACGUUUGUUCUAUUAAGAAUAUUGGAAAUUGAAAUGUGAUAAAAAGUAUUAUGUAAUGUCAAAAAGAGGAUAAUGUAAAUAAGUAAAUGAAUAAAAUUUCAUAACUUGAUAAA